AUGAGGGUAUAUUAUUGGUAUUCACUUACUUUAUGCUUAUUGGCUCAGUUUUACUAAUUCUUCAUGUCUCUCCUCUUGUUCAAGUCAUGUCUUUCCUCUUGAUAGUGAUGCAGAAGAUUCAAGAAAGAGCUUACAAUGGAGGGAGAAAAUCCUCGUCAAUGUCAAGCUGUUCCCAGUCACAAGACAAAAUCAGAUAUACAUCACAAGAAAAAGGCAGAGAUAUUACAACACCCACUUCUCAAAAUGGAAGCACUUGGUCCCAAAGGUGAAUUGAAAACACAAAAAAAAUGCAAUAGAAACUCGAGUUUAGAUGAGUCAAAGUUCCUCUUACCAGGAGAUGGAAUUGCCAAGAGUUUUCCUGCUAACAUUCCUGCUUAUAGAAAAGUGUGACAGUUGGCGAGACAGUAAAAGCUCGAAGGUCACUCCAUCAAAUGGUUCUGCAUAGUAUCCAUGGAUCGCAGAGGCAUAUUCUCAAAGGUUACAACAGUCCUUGCAGCUGAAAGCAUCACAUGUUUUGCGCAGGUGGAUCUAAUCUUGGGAUGAUCGAGUGGUUUUAGCUGGCCAAAAUCAACAGAUGAUGCUCAAGUUCUUGAGUGUUAAAGCCAAAAGACUCACGUUCUUGGCCAUGUUUUUUCUUCUUACUUUUUUCUUUGAUUCAUUGUUUCUUUUGCUUGCGUGCUUCAUUACGUUCUUGCUUUGUUACUUGCUAUAUUCAGUUUGCUUUUGCUGCUUCUUUGAUUCCUCUGCUUUGUGUAUUGCUUGUUUCUUUGCUUCUUUGAUUCCUCUUUUGUGCUUCCUUGAUUCUUCUGUUUAUUACAUUGUUUGUUCUUUUGAUUCCUCUGCUUAGUGUAUUAAGUGUUUCUUUGCUUCUUAGAUUCUUCUUCUGUAUAAUAAAUUGUUUGUGCUUUUUUGGGCUCAA